rnacentral:rRNA from 10 species
ACGAUGUCGAUUUAGAGGUUGUGGUCUUGAACCGUGGCUUCUGGAGCUAACGCGUUAAAUCGACCGCCUGGGGAGUACGGCCGCAAGGUUAAAACUCAAAUGAAUUGACGGGGGCCCGCACAAGCGGUGGAGCAUGUGGUUUAAUUCGAUGCAACGCGAAGAACCUUACCUACUCUUGACAUCCAGCGAAUCCUUUAGAGAUAGAGGAGUGCCUUCGGGAACGCUGAGACAGGUGCUGCAUGGCUGUCGUCAGCUCGUGUUGUGAAAUGUUGGGUUAAGUCCCGCAACGAGCGCAACCCUUAUCCUUUGUUGCCAGCACGUGAUGGUGGGAACUCAAAGGAGACUGCCGGUGAUAAACCGGAGGAAGGUGGGGAUGACGUCAAGUCAUCAUGGCCCUUACGAGUAGGGCUACACACGUGCUACAAUGGCAGAUACAAAGAGAAGCGACCUCGCGAGAGCAAGCGGAACUCAUAAAGUCUGUCGUAGUCCGGAUUGGAGUCUGCAACUCGACUCCAUGAAGUCGGAAUCGCUAGUAAUCGUAGAUCAGAAUGCUACGGUGAAUACGUUCCCGGGCCUUGUACACACCGCCCGUCACACCAUGGGAGUGGGUUGCAAAAGAAGUAGGUAGCUUAACCUUCGGGAGGGCGCUUACCACUUUGUGAUUCAUGACUGGGGUGAAGUCGUACAAAGGGUAACCA